UAUAUUUCGUCUGGUUUAUUUUCGUCCGGUUUAUUUUCGUCUCAUAUCCCACCACCAUAUCUCCUCACAUUGAUUUUUUUACCCUCACAAUAAAAACUUUCCUAACUUUUCCAAAGUUUCCUAACUAGACACGUUAUAAACGGGCAUGUACCGAUAGCACGUUAUCAAUUAAUAAAAUUUUGUUUUAUGACAAUCAAUUCCAAAUCCUAAUUUUCCUAAUGCAUCGAUCUUUGCCUUUUUUAAGUAGUUAUUUUGAUAGGGAGGGUUUAGCCACGAAAAUCAUCCCUCCAUCGUCGGCUGCAUCCCUCACCCACGUCGCUGUUGCAGGAUCUUCAUCCGUCAUCCUGAGCAAUUGGGGCGGCGAUGCGGGCGAGCUUCACGAUAGUGGGGAGGACCAGGCCGCGGUGAAGGCAGGUCAUGCGCUCCUCACGCUCCACGAACGGAACCUGCGCACGGAGGCGGUAGCGCGGGGUGGCAGCCGGCAAUGAGGCGGCCGCGCUACGUGACGAGCUACGGGUCCCCCUUUGUGAUGUUUUGGCAUCGCUCCUUCAUCGCACAUCCUCAGGUACGUCAAUUCACUUCCUUCCCUUCCCUUCGUCCCUCGGUCCCACGCUCGUGGCGCUGAAGUGGUGGCAACAGGCGAUGGCGGUGGUGUCGCUGAUGGCGGCGAGGACAGCAUGUGGCAGCUCCCGAAGCAUGAACACGACCGCACCUCGGGCCUGCCGUCUGCCAAGAUAUGGCUCUGGCCGAUUGACAAUGGAGGUUUGGGAUCCUUCCUCUCAGCACCCACUCCUGGAAGAAUCAGCGGUG